rnacentral:pre_miRNA from 1 species
UACCGAGGUUUUCCUCGGCAGUUUGCUGCAGCCGGAUUUUUCAAAAUUUCGGCAGUUAACUGCCGAGGAAAAC